rnacentral:rRNA from 1 species
UUUUAUUAGAAUUUAUUAAUAAUAAAAUCUGCUCAAUGAUUUAAUUAAAUAGCCGCAAACGUGCUAAGGUAGCAUAAUCAUUUGUCUUUUGAUUAAAGACUGGAACAAAGGAUUUUACAUUUAAAUAAAUAUCUAUAGUUUAAUUUAUUUAAAUUAUUAUUAAUGUAAAAAAACAUUAAUUAAACAAAAAGACGAUAAGACCCUAUUGAACUUUACUUAAGUUUAACUGGGGCAGUUAAUUAAUUAUUAUUUUAAUAAAAAUAAUUAAAUAAAUGACCUAAUAUAAUUAAUUUUAUGACCAAGUUACCGUAGGGAUAACAGUGUAAUACUAUUUUAAAGAUCUUAUUUAAAGUAGUGAUUGCAACCUCGAUGUUGACUAAUAUCCUCGAUUACGCAGUAGUAAUCUAAGGAAGUCUGUUCGACUUUUAAAUAAUUACA